GCCAAAAGCCUGGUCACCCACCUUUCCCUUUUCUCUUCUUUCCCUCUGCUCCUCUUUUCAGAUCAUGUUCUCCUCUUGCUUUUGAAUUUUGAAAUUUGAAAUAGAGGUUUUGAAUUUCAAAUCUCUACUUUCUCUCUCAAUUCCCAGUUCUUUCAUUUUUUUUCUUUUUCCUCAAACAACUUAUGUAAUUUAAAAUUCAAAUUCAUUAUCACCAAACCAAAUUCCAAAACCAUGAUAAAAAGAGAGAGAAGAGACGAGACGACCCAUGUUUCAUCUUUUCAAAAACCCCUUUCCCAACGCGUUUUCUUCAUAUCUUCGUUUUUCUUCGUUGUUUUUGACGAUUUCCUUUACAUAUUCAUGUUGAUCUCUCUUUGAUCUACGUUUUGUGUAUGGAUUUGAUGUGUAUUGAUGAAACUUUCGUCAACGAUCGUUGCGGUGAUCAGAGAUUAAGAUCUAGAUUUGUUGUUUCAGAAGGAUGAGAUCUUAACCAGGUUUGGCGAUAUUCCGCUUUGGCUGUUAAUCUCUCAAACUUGAUUUUGAAUCUUUGAAUCAACCAGUUUUAUAUUCUCAAUUUCAACGAGCCGUAGAUAUCCUUAAUUGCGAUUGAAGCAAACAGGUAAGUUUGUUAUCGACCUGUAAUUUUCUACAUGCAUCUUUCUUUCAUGAUUUGUGUUUAAUCUUGAUAUCUCACCCUCCUAUUUUCAUCGUUUAGGUUUUUAAACAAUGAAUAUUCAAGAAAUUGGUUUUCCAUUUACUUAUUCUUAAAUCUAUAAUCGUUAAUUUUGGAGUACAAAACCCUUUAUAUAUUAUAAGGUUUAAUUUCGUCGGGCGGGGUGAUUUAAUGAAGGUUAUAUGACGCGAAGGGAUUGGAGGAUUAUACUUCCGUGGUUGGAUGCUUAUAUCAGGUUAUACAAAGUGAAUGGGUUAGAUGAUUAUACAAUGUCCUUAAUUCAUCUCUGCUUGGAACUGCUGCAUCACAGGUAACAAACAUAUGCUUUCUAUUAUUGCCUCUAAUAAACGUUGGACUGCACUUUUUGUUGUGUUUAGGUUCAAUUGGACUGCAUUCUUUGUUGUUUUUAGGCUCAGUUGGGUGUCUUAUAGUCCAUCGCUGGAUUGCAUUUUUGAGUGCAAAAUUGAUAGUUCAACUUAUUUGGCCUGAAAUAUAGCUACUUGUGCGUGUGAUUUAGAUUUGUAAUUAGAGUGAUUAUUGCCGCUGGAAAUUAGGGGUCGGCGUUUAGUGUUUCCAACCCACCAGAACCUUGGACCCGACCCUCCAAAACCGCCAAACAAACUGUUUUAUUAAUAGUGAUUCGUUUCCGGGUCUAGGUUUGUUUGAAAUAUCACUUCCGGGUCGGUUUGGUUUCGACGCACAUGUACUUAAAUGGAACCACGAGAACUGACUGAAAUUCAAAUUGAACAAAAAAACCUAUUUUUUUUAAUUUGAUGCUUCUGUUAUUCUUCGUAUAUUUGAGUAUCACUUCCGGGUCGGUUUGGUUUCGACACACAUGUACUUAAAUGAGUUAUAUUUUCAAGCUGUUAUGAGCUAUAUUUUCAAAAUAAAGCAUGAUAACAUUGUGGUCCGCCUUUUGACCCAUAUAGUUUAUCAAUAGGUUUUUGCUUUGAUGAUCGUAGAAGCUGGGUUUCAAAAGGUCGAGUAUGAAAAUCUUGUGGGUGGAGUGGUCGCAACCUGUUUCGGGUUGAAAUUCUAAACUUUCAACGUGUAAGGUACACAAAAGUUCAUAAACGGAGUGUGGGAUGAUACCAACCACCUAAUGCAUAUUGUAUUUUUUUGUGUACACAAAAGUUCAUAAUAACAUAUCUUUAAUCUUAUUUAAGAUUCUAUUUAUUAACUUAAUCAUUUAUUUUGGUUUAAAAGAGAAAAUCUAAACGAAAAGUUUUUUUUUACAUCAAUGUACUUUAUCUAUUUUACACUUAAACUAAUAGAUGUUUGGUUACUUUUUUGGAUUGUUAGAAGUAAGCAAUCAUGCUUCCAGUGUGGUAAUUUCUCUAACCCACAUGUGCAUUUUCUUUGGUUUGAUUUUGAAUAUAUGCCACCUGAAGAACACUAGAUCCAAUUGAGAACAACUCAGACAUGGCCGAAAGCUUCACCAAGAGGAUGAGUUUGAUUCAUGAAAGUCAAGAGUAAAGACGUAUUGAAACUACUAAUUUUAGAUAAAGAUAGUAUGAUUAGAAAAUAAACGUCAAAUGUUGUGUACAAGGCAUAUAUUUAUGUUUAUUAACAAUUGCAAUUUUACUUAUGAUGUUAGUUCAACAAGACUUUUACAACAUGAAUGUGGUCAGUUUAGGUUGUUAAUGGUUGGUGAUGGCCACUUUUUUUAAAUAUUUAUACGGGUUUCGAGUA